rnacentral:rRNA from 1 species
UACGGAGGAUGCAAGCGUUAUCCGGAAUGAUUGGGCGUAAAGCGUCCGCAGGUGGCAAUGUAAGUCUGCUGUCAAAGCGUCUGGCUCAACCAGAUAAAGGCAGUGGAAACUACAUAGCUAGAGUAAGGUAGGGGUAGAGGGAAUUCCUGGUGUAGCGGUGAAAUGCGUAGAGAUCAGGAAGAACACCGGUGGCGAAAGCGCUCUGCUGGACCAUAACUGACACUCAGGGACGAAAGCAUGGGGAGCGAACAGG